CGGCAUGGCGGGUGCUAUACAUGCAGUCGAGCGGACUGAUGGGAGCUUGCUCCCAUCAGUCAGCGGCGGACGGGUGAGUAACACGUGGGUAACCUGCCUGUAAGACUGGGAUAACUCCGGGAAACCGGGGCUAAUACCGGAUAACUCAUUUCCUCGCAUGAGGAAAUGUUGAAAGAUGGCUUCUUGCUAUCACUUACAGAUGGACCCGCGGCGCAUUACCUAGUUGGUGAGGUAACGGCUCACCAAGGCAACAAUGCGUAGCCAACCUGAAAGGGUGAUCGGCCACACUGGGACUGAAACACGGCCCAAACUCCUACGGGAGGCAGCAGUAGGGAAUCUUCCGCAAUGGACAAAAGUCUGACGGAGCAACGCCGCGUGAGUGAUGAAGGUUUUCGGAUCGUAAAACUCUGUUGUUAGGGAAAAACAAGUACCGUUCGAAUAGGGCGGUACCUUGACGGUACCUAACCAAAAAGCCACGGCUAACUACGUGCCAGCAGCCGCGGUAAUACGUAGGUGGCAAGCGUUGUCCGGAAUUAUUGGGCGUAAAGCGCGCGCAGGUGGUUUCUUAAUUCUGAUGUGAAAGCCCACGGCUCACCCGUGAAGGGUCAUUGAAAACUGGGGAACUUGAUUGCAAAAAAGGAAAGUGAAAUUCCAAGUGUAGCGGUGAAAUGCGUAAAUAUUUGGAGGAACACCAGUGGCGAAGGCGACUUUCUGGUCUGUAACUGACACUGAGGCGCGAAAGCGUGGGGGAGCAAACAGGAUUAGAUACCCUGGUAGUCCACGCCGUAAACGAUGAGUGCUAGUGUUAGAGGGUUUCCGUCCUUUUAGUGCUGCAGCUAACGCAUUAGCACUCCGCCUGGGAAGUACGGUCGCAAGACUGAACUCAAAGGGAUUGACGGGGGCCCGCACAAGCGGUGGAGCAUGUGUUUAAUUCGAAGCACGCGAAGAACCCUUACAGUCGUGGACGUCGCUGACGACCUAGAGAUAGGGCUGUGCUCUUCGUGCGACGAAGUGACAGGUGGUGCAUGGUGUCGUCGUCUCGUGUCAGUGAAUG
rnacentral:rRNA from 2 species